rnacentral:rRNA from 1 species
UACAGAGGUCCCAAGCGUUGUUCGGAUUCAUUGGGCGUAAAGGGUGCGUAGGCGGCGCGGUAAGUCGGGUGUGAAGUCUCGGGGCUUAACUCCGAAACUGCAUUCGAUACUGCCGUGCUUGAGGACUGGAGAGGAGACUGGAAUUUACGGUGUAGCGGUGAAAUGCGUAGAGAUCAUGAGGAAGACCAGUGGCGAAGGCGGGUCUCUGGACAGUUCCUGACACUGAGACACGAAGGCCAGGGGAGCAAACGGG